UCAGGCCUAACACAUGCAAGUCGAACGGCAGCACGGGAGCAAUCCUGGUGGCGAGUGGCGAACGGGUGAGUAAUAUAUCGGAACGUGCCCAGUCGUGGGGGAUAACGUAGCGAAAGCUACGCUAAUACCGCAUACGAUCUAUGGAUGAAAGCGGGGGAUCGCAAGACCUCGCGCGAUUGGAGCGGCCGAUAUCAGAUUAGGUAGUUGGUGAGGUAAAGGCUCACCAAGCCGACGAUCUGUAGCUGGUCUGAGAGGACGACCAGCCACACUGGGACUGAGACACGGCCCAGACUCCUACGGGAGGCAGCAGUGGGGAAUUUUGGACAAUGGGCGCAAGCCUGAUCCAGAAAGGCCGCGUGCAGGAUGAAGGCCUUCGGG
rnacentral:rRNA from 1 species